ensembl:lncRNA
UAAAGUGUAACAUUAAAAUAAGUAAGGUGUUGUUUCAACUUAAGAAAAGCACGUUUUGUACUUAAACUAAGGUUAACUUUAGUUAUCUUGAUUAUUCAAGUUAUCUACACAAAUUUUCAGGUUGUUAUAACUAAUUGCAGCAACAUUUAUGUAGUUAUUUAUUUCUUGAAAUCUUGCUCUGUGCACAGUUGCAUGAUCUGCUGCACCUCAGGAGCCUGAUGUUGUUGUGUCGCCCCCUACAGGACUGCAGCAUCUCUACAUGUGGACUGAAGCCACCUGCACCACCUGAAGCACAGCAAAAUGUUGCAGAAAUCACAACGGGAGACGUUAUGUUUCGAUCCUGGACGAUCCCACCCGGUCCGUGUUUCUGGAAAUUAAUCCACACUGCAUCUUCAGAUGUUAUCUGGCUGUAACGCCUCCACACUAAUGAAGUGCUUUUGCACAGAUUAAAGCUGCGAUCUGCACAUCCAUCCCGACGUGUUUCCACCUUCACCUCAUGCCUGCGCUGUGAGGUCACGGCGAACCCCACCCCGGAGCGUCCGAACCGACACGUCAUCCAUUAGAGCUCAAUCACGACGGCCGGAUCUAAAUCAAUUAGAUAUGAAGCCCAGAGGUCACGGGGGUCAGCGCUGGGACGAGGCGUUCAUUAUGAGCGCAGCAUAUCUGAUUUAAUACACCGCUGGAACGGGAAGCCGCUCGGGAGAACUGCGGAUAUUAAAGGUCAAAUGUCAUCCAGCAUGUGGGCCUAAGAUAAAGUUACUGUGAAAUACUCCGGGAAAGAUGGAAAAUGUUCCCUUUAUAUACAGAAAAAGACAUCAGGCAUGUUCAGAGUCCAGUGCUGCCCGUGAUAUCCCACAAUCCUGUGCGUGCCAUUUUUAGAUAAGUAUUUGUGUCAAAAGUUUGGAAUACUUACGAUUUUUGGCUGCAUUUAUUUGAUAACAGUAAUAUUGCCAAAUACUAUUACAAUUUAAAAUAACUGUUUUCUAUGUGAAUCUCUGUUAAAGUGUAAUGUAUUUCUGUGAUGCAAAGCUGUAUUUUCAGCAUCAUUACUCCAGUCUUCAGUGUCACAUGAUCUUCAGAAAUCAUUCUAAUGUGCUGAUUUUCUGUAGUAAUAUUUUCAUUAAAUAUUUUUUGUUGUAUUUUUAGCAAAUUAUUGCAGCUUUGAAGAGCUUAAAAGACUUAAAAUGCUAUAGAAAUAUCGUUCUUAGUUCGUUAACAGGGUUAUUAUAAAUUACAGCUAAACUAAAACUUAAUCUACUAAAAAUCUUAUUUUUAUGUUGAAAUAAAGCUGAAUAUAUAUAUGUGUGUGUGUGUGUG